rnacentral:snRNA from 1 species
UACGCUCUCUAUGAGCUAAGAUCAAGCGUAGUACCUGUUCUUAUCAGUUUAAUAUCUGAUAUGUCCUUUAUUUAAGGACUGUAUAUUAAACCAGUAUUUCUGUGAGGGUAUUUAAAAGGACAUUUAAGGAACAUUAACAGUUU